UACGGGGGGGGCAAGCGUUGUUCGGAAUUACUGGGCGUAAAGGGCUCGUAGGCGGCCAACUAAGUCAGACGUGAAAUCCCCAGGCUCAACCUGGGAACUGCGUCUGAUACUGGUUGGCUUGAAUCCGGGAGAGGGAUGCAGAAUUCCAGGUGUAGCGGUGAAAUGCGUAGAGAUCGGGAGGAACACCUGUGGCGAAGGCGGCUCUCUGGGACGGUACUGACGCUGAGACGCGAAAGCGUGGGGAGCAACAGG
rnacentral:rRNA from 1 species